AAGACAACAUGACAAGAAUCAGGAAUAGCAACGUUAGCUCCUGUGCUGGGGACACAUGCCACCUAUUGAGGUUGUAGAAGAGCCUAAGAUAAUUCUGCCAGAAAGACAGGAAAGCUGCCUUUAUCAUUAUCUUUUGAGGGAGAUUUCUGAGUCUGCCACUGCUUGCAGGAAGACUGAUCCUGAAAGGUUUGUCCAUGUGGAUGUUAGUUGUGGUUGCACAGAUAUCCCCAAGCAUAAAAGCGUGAUGCAGCUCAGGAUCAAGGCAAUGUUUGCAAGCUGGAAUCAACCUGACACAAAGGCUGUGGUCAGGUGGAAUCAGAAUGAUGGGAAAACACUGAAAUGUAGAGUGAAAUAUUCUUUUAAUGAGAAAGAAGACUCUCGGGUAAGAGUUGAAGGCUUAUUUUAUUUUAUUUUUUCAUUAAUUUGAAUUGAGAUUCUUCAUGCCUUAGAUCUCAACCAACAUCCUUAUCUUAACUAGGAAACAAGACCCAGUAGAUCUCCACUUUGGCGAUGCUUCUUACCUAAAGUCUGUCUGAAGUGGAAGAAAAGAAGUGAAUGCAUCUGCUUGGCUUUCUUUUUUCCCAUCCAUUUUUUUGUUUUGCUCUUUUUGUUUACACAGGCUAAUGAUAAAUUAAUGGGAUAAACCAAAGGCCUUGCUGGAACAGCUGUAAACUCAAAGCAGGAAGUCAUUCAAAGCCUCCGAAACCUGGCUGUGAAACGCUGGAGGAGUUAAUGACGAAGAACCGAAUCCUCAGCUGGCACAAAUUGGCAUAGUUUGCUUGAAAUACAUGAGUUUCACUGAUUUACUGUAGUUAGGGAUGUGGCCUGAAGUGUCUCACUAUUCUGC
rnacentral:lncRNA from 1 species